UACGUAGGGUCCGAGCGUUGUCCGGAAUUACUGGGCGUAAAGAGCUCGUAGGUGGUUUGUCGCGUUGUUCGUGAAAACUCACAGCUCAACUGUGGGCGUGCGGGCGAUACGGGGCAGACUAGAGUACUGCAGGGGAGACUGGAAUUCCUGGUGUAGCGGUGGAAUGCGGCAGAUAGUCAGGAGGAACACCGGUGGCGAAGGCGGCCUGCUGGGGCAG
rnacentral:rRNA from 1 species